GGCGGCGUGCCUAACACAUGCAAGUCGAGCGGAGACAUGCGACGGAGUCAAAGUUUCGGAUGGAGACGAAGAUGUAUGUUUAGCGGCGGACGGGUGAGUAACGCGUGAGCAACCUGUCCUUCACAGGGGGAUAACACAGCGAAAGUUGUACUAAUACCGCAUAAGACCACAGCGGGACAUCCCGCAGGGGUCAAAGGAGCAAUCCGGUGAAGGGUGGGCUCGCGUCCGAUUAGAUAGUUGGUGAGGUAACGGCCCACCAAGUCAACGAUCGGUAGCCGACCUGAGAGGGUGAUCGGCCACAUUGGGACUGAGACACGGCCCAAACUCCUACGGGAGGCAGCAGUGGGGAAUAUUGGGCAAUGGGGGAAACCCUGACCCAGCAACGCCGCGUGAGGGAAGAAGGUUUUCGGAUCGUAAACCUCUGUCCUUGGUGAAGAGGAAGAGACGGUAGCCAAGGAGGAAGCCCCGGCUAACUACGUGCCAGCAGCCGC
rnacentral:rRNA from 1 species